AGGAAUAUUGGUCAAUGGGAGGAAUCCUGAACCAGCCAUGCCGCGUGGGGGAAGAAGGUCCUAUGGGUUGUAAACCCCUUUUGUUCCGGAGUAAUAAACCCCUUGCGAGGGGCGAUGAGAGUACGGGACGAAUAAGCAUCGGCUAACUCCGUGCCAGCAGCCGCGGUAAUACGGAGGAUGCGAGCGUUAUCCGGAUUUAUUGGGUUUAAAGGGUGCGCAGGCGGCGCGUUAAGUCAGCGGUGAAAUGUCCCGGCUCAACCGGGGCCCUGCCGUUGAUACUGGCGUGCUGGAGUACGGACGGCGCCGGCGGAAUGUGUCAUGUAGCGGUGAAAUGCUUAGAUAUGCCACAGAACACCGAUCGCGAAGGCAGCUGGCGAGGCCGGUACUGACGCUGAGGCACGAAAGCGUGGGGAUCAAACA
rnacentral:rRNA from 1 species